UGGCAAACCCCACGCAUCCAGUGCCGGGUGGAACCUUAGUGUGAAGAAACUGCCUUUGAAAACAAUAAGUCAGGCAGAGCUGGUGGCCUUCAAAAGGGUCCCAGGUUACACUGUUGCUGCUGGUGCUGAACACAUCCCGAGAGCCCCUGCACUACGUGGUACUGUUACUGAUGUCACCCAACUCACAAACAGAACUGGUGGAAAGAAUGCAUGAUUUCAGUCUUACAAAGAAGUUGCAAGAUUAUUACAAAGAAUUCCUGAAUGCUCUUCAUCCAGAUUUCUCAAAUGUUAACAUUUUAGGUCUCGCUUAAGUUUUUCUCUCUUAAUAUAGAUUCUGAAAUAUUUGAAAAUAAGUUGCAGGCAUGAUCUUUUUACCACUAAAUACUUUAGCACAUUCUUUUAUAUAAUCACAUAGCAAUAAUUAGAAUCAGG
rnacentral:lncRNA from 1 species